rnacentral:ncRNA from 1 species
CUCAUAAGUUAUUUAUAAAGAGCAAUCACUAGCAGGACGGUGGCCAUGGAAGUGGAAUCCGCUAAGGAGUGUGUAACAACUCACCUGCUGAAUCAACUAGCCCUGAAAAUGGAUGGCGCUGGAG